GGAGGAAAAAGCAAAAUCCUUUGUACUUUGUGAUUUUUAAGGACAAAGAAAAAUCUUCCAAAUUAUGAGAAGGGAGAAAAUAUGAAAACAAGCCUCAUUCCCAGCUCACUUAGCAAAUGAGCAGUGAGCACCUACCAUGUGCAGAGACCGGAGCUGGCAAAGCAGGAGGGGCAAAGCAGGAAGGGCUAGUCCCCAUGUGGACUGGAGAGUCCCACCAGUGAAAGGUCAUUGUUGCCUCCUGGAUUGUGCCAGGCUUAGACAAUGUUUCAGUCUCACUCCUAUUACAGCCAAGUAUGGAUUGAAACCUCUACAAACUGUGAGCUGAAAUAAACCACCUAGCCCUUUGUGAGGGGGAAGAGUGGACAGAAAAACCCUUCCUGGAAGAUGGCCCACCUAAGAGAACUCAAAACUAGAGGAGAUUGUGGUUGUCAAGUAGCCCUGCUCUAGCCUCAGUGUCUUCUAGGUACAGACAGUGGGCUCCAAAUGACAGCCAACCAAUGUGACAGCAGCCUGGAGACCAGAUUCUACCAAAGCCUGAAUAAAGCUGGAAGAUUCCACAUAAGCAUUGAGUCUGCCCCACACCUUGAUUACAGCCUUGUGAGCAUCCACACAGGAGCCCAAUUGAGCCUGCCCACAUUUCUGACCCACAGAAUUACGAGCUAGUGAAUAAAGGCU
ensembl:lncRNA